AUGUGACCUCUCUUUCUAAGUCCUGUCAGAACUCUGCAGCAUUUUGAAUAAGCUGUAGGCUUUUUAAGAAGCUGUUAGGACAUCCUAUGAGUAAGCAGUUACAGUAGUCCAGCCUAGAGGUAAGAAAUGCAUAGAUCAGUUUCUCUGCAUCACUCUGAGAGAGGAUGCUUCUGACUUACGCUAUAUUUCUAAGAUGGAAGUAGGCGGUUCUGGAGAUUUGUUUAAUGUAUGAUGUAAAAGAGAGAUCCUAGUCAAAGAUGACGCCAAGGUUCCUCGCAGUAGAAUCUGAAGCUAAUGUUAUGCCAUCCAGGGUGGCUAUCAGACUCAAUAGUGUCUCUCUCAGAUUUUUACACCCAACAAUAAGAAUUUCAGUUUUAUCUGAAUUUAGUAAGUUUUGGGACAUCCAGGAUUUGAUGUCUUUUAAACAACCCUGAAUUUUGACUAGUUGAUCUGUUUCAUUUGGUUCCUAAGACAUAUAUAGCUGAGUAUCAUCUGCGUAACAAUGAAAAUUAAUAGAAUACUUUCUAAUAAUCUCACCUAGAGGAGACAUGUAUAGGCUAAACAAAAUUGGACCAAGCACAGAACCCUCUGGUACUCCAUAGCUAAUCCUUGUGCAUGUGGAGAAUUUCUCAUUAACAUGAACAAACUGGAAUCUGUUCAACAAAUAAGAUUUAAACCAUCCCAAUGCUGUUCCUUUAAUCCCGAUUCUAUGUUCUAGUGUCUGUAAUAGAAUGUUAUGAUCAAUUGUAUCAAAUGCAGCACUAAGAUCUAACAGGACAAGGACAGAAACUAGAUCAUUGUCCGAAGCUAAUAGAAGAUCAUUAGUGACUCUAACCAGAGCUGUUUCUGUGCUAUGAUGUUCUCUAAAUCCUGACUGAAAAUCUUCGUACAGGUUAUUCCCACUCAGGUGGUCAGAUAAUUGUUUAGCCACGAUUUUUCCAGGAAUCUUGAAAAUAAAGGGUAAAUUUAAAAUGGGCCUAUAGUUGGCUAGUUCUCCAGGGUCCAGGGUUGGGUUUUUCAAUAGAGGUUUGACCACAGCCACCUUAAAAGCCUGUGGUACAUAGCCUAGUUGUAAAGAUUGGUUGAUUUGAUUUAAUAUGGACGAGCUGAUUAAAGGUAGAACUUCUUUGAGUAAUCUGGUUGGGAUUGGAUCUAAAAGACAAGUGAACGACUUGGAAGAGUUGAUUAUUGAGGUUAACUCCAUAUGAGUUAUGGGGAAGAAGCUGUCUAGGUAAGACAGAGGAUUUGGUAAAUUUAAAGUUGAUGGAUCUAGACAGGGGCUUUCUGUCAUUUGGAAGAGGUCGCUACUGAAUGUUUUUUCUAAUGGCGAUAAUUUUAUUAGUAAUUCAUAAAGUCAUUGCUGCUGAGAUUUAAGGGGAUAGUAGACUCAACACAGCUAUGACUCUUGGUCAGCCUGGCUACAGUGCUGAAAAAAAAAACCUGGGGUUGUUUUUGUUUUCCUCAAUUAGGGAGGAAUAAUGUGUUUUUCUAGCAGCACAAAGUGCUUUUUUAUAUUUUAUUAGACUGUCCUUCCAUGCAAUGCAGUUUACAUUUAUUUUGUUGGAACGCCACUGUCUUUCUAGUUGUCUGGUCCUGUGCUUUAGGCUGCGGAUCUCUGAGUUAUACCACGGAGCUAACCUCCUCUGAUUCACUGUCUUCUUCUUCAGAGGAGCCACUGCGUCUAACAUUGUACGUAGAGAGACUGCAGCAUCAUCUACAAGACAGUCAACCUAAGGAUUAAGGUGACUGUCCUCUGUGUAUCUACAAGACAUUGAGGCAAAAGAUGAUGGAAUCAUCUACUUGAAUCUGGCAACAGCGUUGUCAGAUAAACAUCUGCUACAGUAACAUUUCUUUCCAGCUAUUGUAAGGUCAAUUAUGCUAAAUUCAAAAGUUAAUAAGAAAUGGUCAGAUAACAGAGGGUUUUGGGAAAGAACUAUUAAAUUAUCAAUUUCAACCCCAUAUGUCAGGACAAGAUCAAGGGUAUGGUUAAAAUGAUGAGUGGGUUCAUUUACAUGCUGUGUAAAACCAUUAGUAUCUAUUGAGGAGUUAAAAGCAGUGCAGUGUAGUGAGGUGUUGUUUAUACUGUACUGUAGAAGUAUGACCGAGGCCGACCAAGAUGUUUACAGGUCAGUCCAACAGUUGUCCUUAAAGGGAGUCACAACAGGGGAAGAGGAUAGAUAGAGGCACAGCUGGUGAGCUAGAUUGGACCCGGGAAGGGAGGGGUGAGGGAGAAGUAAUACACAGCCAAUUCUAAUACAUUUUAUCAAUCCAUGACUAAUUUGUCUAGAUCAAUACUCCAAUCAGUCAGAACUCAGGGCUUCUUCACCUCUUGUGGGACCAUGAGUCACCCGUGACAUCUCCUCAAGCCUAUCAGACAAGGCUGUCACCAUAGUCACCAAGUGUUCAGUCUGUCUGCAGAUGUUAUCCCUCGAUCUCUUGUCUUCUUCUGAACGGGCUGAGAUCUUAUUAGUCAGUCCUGCAAUCCGGGCAUCCAAACGGGCUGAGAUGUUACUGAUCAGUCCUUCAAUCCGGGUCAUCCUCUGAUGCAAAUCAUCUGAUCGAGCUGAGAUGUUCCUUGUCAGUCCUUAAAUCCGGGCCAUCCUCUGGUGUAACUCCGUCAGCUGAGUAACCAUGAGCCAGCCAGCAGUGUUUGGACGUGAGAUGUGGGGGUCACUGAAAGUAGUAAAAUACCUCAUUGUUACUCCUGAAAUCAAAAAAUCACAGAGUACGUUGAAACUGUAAGAGCACGACUUAAAGCAGCAGGUGCACUGGCCCAGGAACACUUAAUCACUUCACAGGAUAAGAUGAAGAGGCAGUACAACCUCUCCACAGAAAAAUGAUCAUUUAAGCCUGGGGAUAAGGUGCUUAUUAAUUUACCUGUGACUAGACCUUGUCUGAAAAGUUCUCUGGUCCAUACAUUGUAGAAAAGCAAUUAAGCAACACAAAUUACAUAAUUAAAACACCAGAUCGCCGGUGGCGUAGUCAUGUCUGUCAUGUGAACAUGCUCAAGGCCUAUUUUACCAGAAAUGACAAGACAUCAGGUGGCGACAUUCCCCCUAGGGAAGUUGCUGUGGCCACAACACAGGUGGUAGGAACUGGUGACAUGGAUGAUGAUGGGCUGGUCAUGUCCGGUGUCGUGCCUCAGCAGGCGAGGCUUAGUAAUAGUGAAAUCCUCCCAGAGUACCCUGCUCAUUCAUUAACUACUCAGAUGAAUGACAUCGAAGCACUCAUUCUGGAUUUUCCUUAUUUGUUCAGUGAAUAAGGAAUGCACCAGUGACCUUUCAGCGGUGGCAGCUCCAUUAACCAGCCCACGGGCCUCAUUCAGCUGGACAGGUCCUGGGCAGAGUGACAGCACUUGCACCUUUGCCACGGCAUUUAUAGGAGGAACCCAUAUGGAUGCGGGAGAAGGAGGAGACGAGAAGAGACCGAGAGACUAUGAUUAAGAGUUGAGAGUUGAGAGAACCAGCUGACCAGCCAAGCUGAGCCUUUAUUAUUUAUGUUGUCCGGAGGUUACAUCUACCAAAAAUGUAACAUUAUUCAGCAAGCAGCUAAAGCCAGCAGCAAGUGAUAAAACAAUCAAUAAAGAUCUAAGAUUUCAA